GAAUAUUGGGCAAUGGACGGAAGUCUGACCCAGCCAUGCCGCGUGCAGGAAGAAGGCCUUCUGGGUUGUAAACUGCUUUUAUAUAGGAAGAAAACACCUUUGCGAAGGGAACUGACGGUACUAUAUGAAUAAGCACCGGCUACCUCCGUGCCAGCAGCCGCGGUAAUACGGAGGGUGCAAGCGUUGUCAGGAUUUAUUGGGUUUAAAGGGUGCGUAGGCGGCCCGUUAAGUCAGUGGUGAAAGACUCCAGCUCAACUGGAGAACUGCCAUUGAUACUGACGGGCUUGAGUACAGACGAGGUUGGCGGAAUUGAUGGUGUAGCGGUGAAAUGCAUAGAUACCAUCAAGAACUCCGAUUGCGUAGGCAGCUAACUAGGCUGUAACUGACGCUGAGGCAUGAAAGCGUGGGGAGCGAACAGG
rnacentral:rRNA from 1 species